AUUGAACGCUGGCGGCAUGCUUUACACAUGCAAGUCGAACGGCAGCGCGGGCUUCGGCCUGGCGGCGAGUGGCGAACGGGUGAGUAGUGCAUCGGAACGUGCCCAGUAGUGGGGGAUAGCGCGGCGAAAGCCGGAUUAAUACCGCAUACGACCUGAGGGUGAAAGCGGGGGACCGAAAGGCCUCGCGCUAUUGGAGCGGCCGAUGUCGGAUUAGCUAGUUGGUGGGGUAAAGGCUUACCAAGGCGACGAUCCGUAGCUGGUCUGAGAGGACGACCAGCCACACUGGGACUGAGACACGGCCCAGACUCCUACGGGAGGCAGCAGUGGGGAAUUUUGGACAAAGGGGGCAACCCUGAUCCAGCCAUGCCGCGUGCGGGAAGAAGGCCUUCGGGUUGUAAACCGCUUUUGUUCGGGAAGAAGUCCUCUGGGCUAAUACCCCGGGGGGAUGACGGUACCGGAAGAAUAAGCACCGGCUAACUACGUG
rnacentral:rRNA from 1 species